GGUAAGAUGGCCGAGUGGUUAAGGCGAGUGACUUAAGUGCUCUAGUGCUGUACAGCACUUUUACAUAAGCUGUACGGUCUGCUCAAAUUCACUUGACGAAAGUCGCGUGGGUUCGAACCCCACUCUUACCA
rfam:Neosartorya fischeri NRRL 181 1099437636264 genomic scaffold, whole genome shotgun sequence.